GACAGCUGAUGAUAAUUACAACCAGGCGAAUUCCUCCUCAGUCUCCUUAAAAGAACCAAAAGAAGACGAAACGGUGCGUUUUGUACCGGGUGUAGCGACUGCGAUGACCUGCGCAAAUACCCUAAUGAAGAUGUAGUAGCAGGAGUAACGGUGAGGAGACUGUCGUUGGGAAGUACUGAAGAAUGAAUAAAAUUGCAGCUGCAGCUUCAGAAGCUUCAAAUUUUGUAAGAGCUUGGCAGUUGCGUCGCUAUGCUGCUUCUCUCCAUCCACCACAUUUUAGCAGAUCAUUAUCAUCAGAACCGUUGUUAGAAUCUGGAUUAGAUGAAGCACAAGAAUGUGAAGGCUCUAUUACAGUGUCGUAUCUCGUGAAUUCAUGUGGAUUUUCCGCAGAAAAGGCUCUUACAUUGUCUAAGAAAGUAAGCUUCGAAACCACAGAGAGACCAGAUUCUGUCCUUGGUCUUCUCAGAGACCAUGGAUUCGCUGAUUCCGAAAUCUCCAAACUUGUUAGUAAAGUCCCAAGGCUGCUUUUAGCCGACCCUGAGAAGAUCCUUUCGCCGAAACUUGAGUUUUUGCGUUCUCUAGGCCUUUCAGGCACGAGCAUUGCUCUUGCCAUCUGUAGGAAUCCUAUUUUCUUGACUGCCAGCUUGAAGAAUGCUCUAGUUCCUGGUUUUAAUCUCUUCAAAAAAGAACUCCUCAGUGAUGAAAAAGUUGUGAACCUUAUAACACGCUCGUGGGGAGUUUUGAGUGAUAGGGUGCAAAGUAAUAUUGCUCAAAAUCUCUCAGUUCUGAGAGCACUUGAAGUGCCGCAACCCUCUAUCUCUGUAUUACUGAGCUGUCACCCCGGAGUCGUGUGUCAAAAACCUGAUGACUUUAACAAAGAUGUGGAGAAGGUCGUUGGUAUGGGAUUCACGCCUAAGACGUUAACAUUUGUCAAUGGACUCCAAGUGAUUGCGACAAUCACCAAAUCGACAUGGGUGCACAAAUUGGAGGUUUACAAGAGCUGUGGCUGGACUGAAGAGGAGAUCCUGUUGGCUUUUAGAAAAAAACCAACUUGUAUGUAUCUGUCAGAGAAGAAUAUAAGAAGUAAAAUGGAUUUUCUUGUAAACAAGAUGGGUUGGCAGCCUGCAUAUCUCGCCAGAUAUCCAGACUUUCUAUCACUUAGUCUGGAGCGGAGGAUCAUUCCAAGGUGUUCUGUCAUUAGAGUCCUGUUGGUGAAGGGCUUGCUGAAGAAAAAGUAUUCCAUAUCAUCAUUGUUGAUUACCAUUGAUAGUUGCUUUAUAAGUAAGUUUGUGACUCGCUAUCAAGAAAGCGUGCCUCAACUUUUGGAUAUCUUUCGAGGGAAAUUAAGUCUUCAGGAACUUGGCUUUCAAUUUGAGGGAAAAUGAUGGCAGAAAAUUUGUUGUAAGCACAAGUUCAUGUAUGCACGGUUCCCUCCGUCACUGCUGUUAUUUAAGCACCUGCAUUACUCGCAGUGAGGAAAUAUGUAGGGGAAAUGAAGGAUGACAGAAGAACAGAUGAAGGAAGGUGGGAGAGAUGUAGAAGAAAUGUUCAGGGAAAGGAACACAACAUGAAAACUAAAAACUAAAAUAUAUUUUAAGUUGGUUUCUCUUUCAAGAUUUUGUUUUCAUUCAUUCUUCCUUAUUUCUUCCCCUCUCUCCAUCACCCUUCUUCAUCUCCGUUUUUCCACGUACUUUUCCGUAUCUCAAGCACAAAAAGUGAAAACCAAAACCUAAGCACGAAAUAGUUAUCGAAGUGGCCCUAAGUAUUACUGAAAUUCUACUCUACUUGAUUCCACACUGAUUUGUUUUCUUUUCAUUCUUAUUUCUAUCUAUGAUAGGGGUUUAGAUUUUCUUAGGAAUAUACCAUUAUGUACAUGAGUCGCACACCUUAAACCCAUCUUUUUAUGCGGUUUAUUGCUUUUGUUCCCGAAAAAUUGAAUGGUUGCUCGUGAGUUCUUACUUACCGAAAAUUUAUGAUUGCAUAGUACUCACCAAGUGUGACGAUCUUCUAAUUGUCGAUUAGAGCUUAAAAAGCUGAUACACAGAAUUGUUUGGUCUUACAGCUUCAUAUCUUCAAUUCAUUCAUUGGAUUGAUUGGUUGGUUUAAGUCCAUUUGGAUGGGAACAAAUAGAGAGGGGCCAGAGAACAGAAGAAAUAUCAAGAAAUAUUGUCUGGUAUGUUAUUUCUUCCUGAAAAGAAACAAAGUCGUCCUCUUUCCAUCUCGAAUUGGAUCCUAAUUCGAUUGUCCGUAUGAUAGUUAGGUUCUUUCGAUCCUGAUUAUUUAUUUCUAUGUUUUCGCUGAAACGCCCAUAAAGAAGUGAAAUUGUGUUCCUUUCUGCACUAUAUCCAUUUGACGUUGUGUGAUUUUGAUCUUGGAUAUCAGAGCAGCAGAGCUUAAUAAAUAGACAUCCUUACCGCCAUUUCCACCAUUAAUGCCAAUCUCCACCGGAGCGUUCCUCUUCCUCUCAGCCGCAACCAGACAUACCGCUUCAACUCACAGAAUUCCGAAUUCUUACAACAAUAAAGUGAUAAAAAAAAAUUCAAAAAAUCACCUCGAAAAUGGGAAAACCUUGGCAUCUGAGUAAUGAAUAGUUUAGCUUUUUUCUGAGCUUGUGAGUGUUUCGAACGAAACAGAUUUUCGUUUUUCUUGUUUCUCCUUAUUUUUCGAGUGUGCAAAUUGAGUUUGUGAAGAUGGAGAUCCUUGAUUCUGUAGUGUAGCAACUGAAACAUAUUGAUACAUUCCAAGCAUUCUUUAUUGGUUGUGUA